UUUUGACUAACUUACCUCAAUUUGAUGUGGAAAUGAGGUCAGAUGAGCUGAAAAAGAUCAAGAAGGUGGUGCAGAAGAGAAAGAAAGCAUCAGGCGCUAUCAAGGCCCAACUGAAGUACCCAUGCAUCGAAGCUUUUGGGUGGAAGAGCCGACCCUAGCCUGACACGAGGCCAACGGACAGUGGAAAGCUUGUUGGCCUAUAUCGAUGUGGUUCUUGCUUCCUUAGUUUGAGUCCACUUGCUGGGUGUGGAGCCACCACUCCGAUCUCCAUCACCUGCUCCCCGAGAGGGAGGGGGCCUUCACAGUCAUCUUCCUGAGUUGGAGCUCCUAGGUCGGGCCCGACCCCUGCUUCGGUCGAGUAGGGGUUGUGCAUCCCAUUAGUUCAACCAGCCUCCGACUCAUCACUAGAGAGCUGGAGGGUCGCUCAUUAUCUGGUUCAUGGGCUUCUUCUUUCGAUCGAUGCCAAGAAGCUUAAGGAAGCAGGCUCUAGCACCCAGUAGAGGAAUGUAGUGAAUCCUUCAUCCAAGUAAGUCAUCUUCUAUUCAUUUUUUCUUAUCUUGCUCUUUAUUUAUUGUUGCUUCUUUAGACUAACUGACCUUUUUGUUUCCUCCCCUUUUUUUGUGGUAGCUUGGCCACUAUAUGGCCAUUUUCAUGAAAUCAAUCAAGUUGGCAAGGUUGAAAGUUUGCCGAGGCUCUUUGUAGAGCUGAGGUAGUGGAAAAGAGGGCCCCUAAGGUAGAGGAGGUCAAGAAGAAGGCCCAAACUGAGGCUGAGACUGAGAUGAAGUGCCUGAGGGAGGUGCUUAAGAAGGUCAAGACAGAGCUUGCCUCAAAAAAGAAGGUCGUCGGAUGAUGGAGGCAUUCCCAGCCUCUAAGAAUUUCAUCGAGGACAAGACCAACCAUGCCGUGAGUCCUAUAUUAUCAGUUUAGGAGUAUGCCGGUAGAAGGUCCUUAAGCGCUUGCCCG
rnacentral:lncRNA from 1 species